rnacentral:rRNA from 1 species
UGCAUCUAGAUUGCAGCAGUCGCGAAAACUUUGCAAUAAGCGAAAGCUUGACAGGGCUAUCCCGAGUGCCAUCCGCUGAGGAAGGCUUUUACCCAGUCUAGAACGCUGGGGGAAUAAGGAGAGGGCAAGUCUGGUGUCAGCCGCCGCGGUAAUACCAGCUCUCCGAGUGGUGUGGAUGUUUAUUGGGCCUAAAGCAUCCGUAGCUGGCUAGGUUAGUCCCCUGUUAAAUCCACCGAAUUAAUCGUUGGAUUGCGGGGGAUACUGCUUGGCUAGGGGACGAGAGAGGCAGACGGUAUUUCCGGGGUAGGGGUGAAAUCCUAUAAUCUCGGGAAGACCACCAGUGGCGAAGGCUGUCUGCUAGAACGCGCCCGACGGUGAGGGAUGAAAGCUGGGGGAGCGAACCGGAUUAGAUACCCGGGUAGUCCCAGCUGUAAACGAUGCAGACUAGGUGUUUGGACGGCCACGUGCCGUUCUAGUGCCGCAGGGAAGCUGUUAAGUCUGCCGCCUGGGGAGUACGAUCGCAAGAUUGAAACUUAAAGGAAUUGGCGGGGGAGCACCACAAGGGGUGAAGCUUGCGGUUUAAUUGGAGUCAACGCCGGAAAUCUCACCGGGAGCGACAGCAGAGUGAAGGCCAGAUUAAAGGUCUUGCCAGACAAGCUGAGAGGAGGUGCAUGGCCA